rnacentral:rRNA from 1 species
AGCUAAUAGAUACCCAGGUAGUCCUGACAGUAAACGGUGCACGCUUGGUGUGGGAAGUGACCCUUUCCGUGCCGAAAGCUAAACGCGAUAAGCGUGCCGCCUGGGAAGUACGAUCGCAAGAUUAAAACUCAAAGAAAUUGACGGGGACCCGGCACAAGCGGUGGAGUAUGUGGCUUAAUUCGAUGCAACGCGAAGAACCUUACCUGGCCUUGACAUGCAUUGUGUCGUUGGUGAAAGCCAGCUAGUGUAGCAAUACACGCUUUGCACAGGUGCUGCAUGGCUGUCGUCAGCUCGUGUCGUGAGAUGUUGGGUUAAAGUCCCCGCAACGAGCGCAACCCCUGUAGUCCGUUGCCACCGGUUUUACCGAGCACUUGGACUAGACUGCCCAGAUCAACUGGGAGGAAGGUGGGGAUGACGUCAAGUCCGUAUGGCCCUUACGGGCCAGGGCUGCACACGUACUACAAUGCCCAGCACAAACGUG